rnacentral:rRNA from 1 species
CCUACGGGCGGCAGCAGUGAGGAAUAUUGGUCAAUGGGCGUAAGCCUGAACCAGCCAAGUAGCGUGAAGGAUGACGGCCCUAUGGGUUGUAAACUGCUUUUAUGAAGGAAUAAAAUGCGGCACGUGUGACUUUUUGUAUGUACUGCAUGAAUAAGGAUCGGCGAAUUCCGUGCCAGCAGCCGCGGUAAUACGGAGGUUCCGGGCGUUAUCCGGAUUUAUUGGGUUUAAAGGGAGCGUAGGUGGGUUGUUAAGCCUGUUGUGAAAGUUUGUGGCUCAACCAUGGAAUUGCGGUGCAAACUGGCAGUCUUGAGUGCAGUAGAGGUAGGCGGAAUUCGUGGUGUAGCGGUGAAAUGCUUAGAUAUCACGAAGAACUCCGAUGGCGAAGGCAGCUUACUGCACUGCAACUGACGUUGAUGCUCGAAAGUGUGGGUAUCAAACAGGAUUAGAUACCCGAGUAGUC